UGAGAAGCUUAGUUUAAACUUGUGGAGUUAUGCCUAGUGUGGCAAGAUGAUGAAUUGAGAAAAUACUAAUUUAACUAAUGAUGGAAUUAAUUAGUAUUACUAAUAAAUAAAUAAUUUCAUAAUGAGGUUGAUUUAUUUGUUAUUUGUGACGCCCCCAAAAUUAGGUAUACAUCACCAAUCUUGGGUCGUCAGAUACAUGGUACAGAAUUCAAAUAUAACUUACUAAUACAACUGUCGUGUACAAUACGACAAACAUAAACUGUGAGUUGUAAUACAAAUAUUAUCUACUAGAGAUUAUACAAACUCAAAAGCAGUAUUCAUUACAUUUAUUAUCGCACUAUUUAACAGAAUAAUAAAGACAGAAUAAUAGAAGAAUGUCACCAAGUAUAGGGUAGCC
rnacentral:lncRNA from 1 species